rfam:Otolemur garnettii contig173708, whole genome shotgun sequence.
GCCAGGUGUUGUGGUGGGCACCUGUAGUCCCAGCUACUUGGGAGGCUGAGGCAAGAGAAUUGCCUAAGCCCAAGAGCUGGAGGUUGCUGUGAUCUGUGAUACCAUGGCACUCUACCAAGGACAAUAAAGUGAAACUCUGUCUCUGAAAAAAAAAAGUUACACGUUAAAAAGUAGGUCUCUUUUCUUUCUGAGACAGAGUCUCACUCUGUGCCCUUGGACGAGUGCCAUGGUGUCACAGCUCACAGCAACCUCAAACUCUUGGGCUCAAGUGAUUCCUUGCCUCAG